rnacentral:rRNA from 1 species
AACGAACGCUGGCGGCGUGCUUAACACAUGCAAGUCGAACGAGAAAGUACCUUCGGGUGCGAGUAGAGUGGCGCACGGGUGAGUAACACGUGGAUAAUCUGCCCUUGAGUUGGGGAUAACUAGCCGAAAGGCUGGCUAAUACCGAAUGACAUUGUCCCGCAUAAGCGGGAUAAUUAAAGGUUUACCGCUUAAGGAUGAGUCCGCGUCCCAUUAGCUAGUUGGUAGGGUAAUGGCCUACCAAGGCAACGAUGGGUAGCUGGUCUGAGAGGAUGAUCAGUCACACUGGAACUGGAACACGGUCCAGACUCCUNACGGGAGGCAGCAGUGGGGAAUAUUGCACAAUGGGGGAAACCCUGAUGCAGCGACGCCGCGUGGGUGAGGAAGGUUUUAGGAUCGUAAAGCCCUGUCAAGUGGGAAGAAACAAAUGACGGUACCAUAAAGAAGCACCGCUAACU